rnacentral:rRNA from 1 species
CACGUAGGUGGGUUUGUAAGUCAGAUGUGAAAGCCUUCUGUUCAACGGAAGAAUUGCAUCUGAAACUGCGAGUCUUGAGUGUAGGAGGGGAGAAUGGAACUUCUGGUGGAGCGGUGAAAUGCGUAGAUAUCAGAAGGAACGCCGGCGGCGAAAGCGAUUCUCUGGCCUAUUACUGACACUCAGUGUGCGAAAGCUAGGGGAGCAAACG